CCUACGGGAGGCAGCAGUGAGGAAUAUUGGUCAAUGGUCGGGAGACUGAACCAGCAAAGCCGCGUGAGGGAGGAAGGUACAGAGUAUCGUAAACCUCUUUUGUCAGGGCACAAAGACUGGGACGCGUCCCCGGUAGAGUGUACCUGAAGAAAAAGCAUCGGCCAACUCCGUGCAAGCAGCCGCGGUAAUAGGGAGGAUGCGAGCGUUAUCCGGGUUUAUGGGGUUUAAAGGGUGGGCAGGGGGUCUGUUAAGUCAGCGGGCAAAGCCCGGGGCUAAACCCCGGCCCGCCGUUGAAACUGGGAGUCUCGAGUUGGAGAGAGGUAUGCGGAAUGCGGGGUGUAGCGGUGAAAUGCAUAGAUAUCGCGCAGAACUCCGAUUGCGAAGGCAGCAUGCCGGCUCCACACUGACGCUGAGGCACGAAAGCGUGGGUAUCGAACAGGAUUAGAUACCCUUGUAGUC
rnacentral:rRNA from 1 species